rnacentral:lncRNA from 1 species
UGUCUUCUUAUUAAUAACUCAGAGUACAUCACAGAUACAAUCAAGGUAGUUCCGCUACGGACUACAAAACAUGAAAAUGCUAUGCUACCUUGCCUGCAGGCCCAUGAUCACGACCACGCCUCAGUCCUAUGGAUAGUUCAUGUAGAGGCGGUCUGUCUCCUCGUCGUACUGCCACGCCAGCUGGGUGCCAUCGGGAUCAUCUGUCUCUGGGGUACCUGUACCUGUUGGGAGUUUCGAAGGAAUCCGUGAGCCACGGGGACUCAGCAAUCUAAGACCUUGGUGCCAGAACUAGUCAUGUUAUUAGGUAGGGAUUUGGUGAAGUGUAUAAGGCUGCAGCAUCCUAAGCUGGAUUAAGUGGCUAACUUACGCAAAGUAAUUGUGAAGGUGGUCUACACUAGCGAUCGGAUUUCCUAGAUCACUAAGUGAUCCUGAACACCUACCUACGGCAUUCAUAACCCCCCCGUGUCCCCGAUCGAAGAGAGAUCUUCGAAGGGACAGUCACGGUUACUCACACAGUUGGCAAUUUUAUUAGCUUAUGUUUAAGUUCUCUAAUACCGGAUGUUAACAAAAUAUUCCAAGUUGCCACAUAACCGCGGGCACGGCUUUCCGAAAGAUUAAACCCCGCAGGGGUGCUCCAACUAGUCCAUCACAAACGUACACAUACCGCAAAGUAACCCUCUAUCACGAAUCUCGUGAUCUCGUCGGAUUCCUUAGAGGAAAACCUCAACUCUGGGGAAACCAAAGCUUCACUGGGAUUACUAUACGCAAGAUAUAUCGCUAAGGUAAGGCAUGCCAAGGAUCCGACGCUCGCCUGUCUGGGACCAGUUGAGCAGAGUACGACACUUCCUGCCAUAGAGAAUUUCAAACGGAGCCUUGCCAGAACUAGCUUGAUAACUAUUGUUAUACGAGAACUUCGUGAAAGACAGACAAUCCUCCCACUUCAUGCCAAAGAGAUAACACAGGCUCUUAGCAUGUCCUCAAGAACUUGAUUCACUCUCUCCACUUGACCACUAGUCUGAGGAUGGAACGCUGUGCUGAAGCGGAUCUUCGUGCAUAAGUGAUUAGCAAAUUAACACCAAUGUUGGGUCCUGCUGGACAAGCCUUAUCACUACGCGAUUUAUCGAGGGGGUCCCAUUACGACCCCGAACGUGUUAGGAGCGAUCAAUAUGGAAUCAAACACCGGUAANNNNNNNNNNNNNNNNNNNNNNNNNNNNNNNNNNNNNNNNNNNNNNNNNNNNNNNNNNNNNNNNNNNNNNNNNNNNNNNNNNNNNNNNNNNNNNNNNNNNCUCAGGGACUUAGUGAAAAUUCCUGCACCUGAGUUUCUGUCUUUGUUCUGAAGCCUUUUGACAGCAAUCAAAACACAACCUACUCGACUCCAAAUGAUUUGAAAUUUGACAGGGAGCGUCAAAAACAUAUCAGGUUCAAAAUCCUAGCACUGAUCUAAGGCUAGUUCUCAAUACAAUGACGAGCACAUCCACAUCUAUAAGAGAAGAAAAUGUUUACAGAAUCCCAGACUUAGUGAAAUUUCAGAUUUAACUAAACUGGAAUUUUUAGCCACAUGCCCACUUUGUCUAGGCAUAGUUUGCACACACAUAACACCAAGUGAUAAAUGACACCACUAUGGUGUAGAGCAAAACCCCUACUACUAUCACACAAAAACUCAUGCCCUUGGGCUCCACCUAUUCCAUGGAAUCAAGGAUCAAACUUGCAACAAAUAUGAAUAUGUCAACUCCAUAAAGUAUCCUAAUGGCAAAACAAACUUCACCACUGGAUUCCUUGGGAGAUUCUACCCAAAAUCAUCUAUAAUAUGUGGACACUUAGUUGGAACAAAUGACCACAAAUUAAGGAAGAGAAAACUACUCCAAAUCAUGCCUAGUAAUUAGUGCAUCAUUUCAUGUAGUUCCUACUAAGACAACAACUACAAAGGUUGUGUUCAUGUGCACAAUGACAAAGUGACAUGGGGGUUUGAACCCCAUGUUUGUGUCGUGCACAUCAACAACACAAAUACUUAUCACAAGUUACCCCCCCACACACACAACACCAUGCCCUCUCACAUAUGGACAUGUGAAGGUGCAUAGUUUGCAAAGGUGGGGAAGUUCCACACACACACAUAUCUCAACACCACAAACCUCAUCAUAAGCUCUAAAACCCCAAGAACAACAUAAGGGGAAAACUACCAAGCAAGUAUUAUGCAAGCAUAAAAGGGCAGGGAGGGAUUCGAACCCACAACCCCUGUAACACCACACAUGAGCUACACCACUCUGUUACUAGGUCUUUGCUUGAAAAGUAAGGGAAGUUUAACAGGAUAAACACCCCCCUGCGCUACUGCUACUGUGCCAAAACAAAAAAAAGGAGAAUUAAAAAGGGGAGGUGGCGACCCUGGGACUCGAACCCUGCACCUCUAGGAAACAACCAGAGACAACAACCACUGGGCUACGAUAUGUUACUUGACAGAUCAGGGGACUGAAACAAGGUAAGCUACCCGGAAACCCUUCUCUGCCUACAAAGAAACACCAGCGACAGGGAGUUCGUCGGGGUGUCUCUCCGGGGAUGCUGCUGCGCUACGAGUGGCAACACCAUACUGCUGCUGAUCUACUGCUACGCCACGAGACCGCUACGGCAACUACACAACACAAGCACCUACACUAGUUCCCUGCACACACAUGCACAUAUGACGUACUCUGCUACGAACAGGGACGGCAAGGUCGCCUCCUGUGCUCUACCCGACGGGAAAAGGGGGAAGGAGAGGCCUGCUCACCUUGGGGAGGAAGGGAAGGAGUCGAUCCGAAGGAGAGGGAGCCGGAUCGGAGGGGAAGUAGCGGGUUGGAGACGCCUUGACGCCGAUCUACAGUCUCCUACUGCAGAACCGAGGAAGGCUUGGAGUUCACCGGAGCCGAGGCAUGGACGAGCUCCGGGCCGACGAGGAGGACGUUCCCCAGCCUCAACGAGGUCGGGAAUGGGACGCGGGGAGCAACCCCUCGCCCGUGGACAUGGCGGAAGGCGCGUCCGUCGACGAGAGCGGGGGCUAGACGCCGGCGAUCUGCUCUGUCUCUCUGCUACCUACCUACAGAAACUCACCAGAAGGAGGAGAAGAGAGAUGGGGAAGGAGAUGGUGGCGGCGGCGGAGAGAGG